rnacentral:rRNA from 1 species
GAUGAACGCUAGCGACAGGCCUAACACAUGCAAGUCGAGGGGCAGCACAUGAGUAGCAAUACGAUGGUGGCGACCGGCGCACGGGUGAGUAACACGUAUGCAACCUGCCUUCUACUAUGGGAUAACCCGUUGAAAGACGGACUAAUACCGUAUAAUACAGGGGCUCCGCAUGGAGAUAUUUGUUAAAGAUUUAUUGGUAGAAGAUGGGCAUGCGUAUGAUUAGAUAGUUGGUGAGGUAACGGCUCACCAAGUCAACGAUCAUUAGGGGUUCUGAGAGGAAGGUCCCCCACACUGGUACUGAGACACGGACCAGACGCCGACGGGAGGCAGCAGUGAGGAAUAUUGGUCAAUGGACGAGAGUCUGAACCAGCCAAGUCGCGUGAAGGAAGACGGUUCUAUGAAUUGUAAACUUCUUUUGUGCAGGAAUAAAGUGGGUUACGUGUAACCUUUUGUAUGUACUGUAUGAAUAAGGACCGGCUAAUUCCGUGCCAGCAGCCGCCGUAACAC